AGUCGACGAGCUUGUUGAUUUCGGUUAACAAGUUAGUGGCAAACGGGCGACUAUCACGUGCUUAAUCUGCCCCGGAGAGGAGAACAACUACAGAGAUGUAGCUAAUUCUCCAUACGCUCUAGAGAAUGAAAAUAUCUAGAGGAAACGAUUUAUCGCUCUGGGAGGAGGGUGCGGCCUAUCAGGUAGUUGGUGAGGUAACUGCUCACCAAGCCUAUGACGGGUAACCGGUCUGAGAGGAUGUCCGGUCGCAAUGGAACUGAGACACGGUCCAUACCCCUACGGGGGGCAGCAGUGGGGAAUCUUGGGCAAUGGGCGAAAGCCUGACCCAGCGAUUCUGCGUGAAGGAUGAAGCCUUGCGGGGUGUAAACUUCUUUUAUGGGGGAAGACGAAUGACGGUACCCCACGAAUAAGGGACGGCUAACUACGUGCCAGCAGCCGCGGUAAUACGUAGGUCCCAAGCGUUAUCCGGAUUUACUGGGCGUUAAGAGUCUGUAGCUGGAUAUAAUAGUCUAUUUUUAAAGACCUUAGCUCAACUAAGGGAAGGGAAUGGAUACUUUAUAUCUGGAGGUUUUUAGGGGUUAGUAGAAUUCCCGGUGGAGGGGUGAAAUCCGUUGAUAUUGGGGGGAAUGCCGAAAGCGAAAGCAGCUAACUAUAAUUAUCCUGACAGUGAGAGACGAAAGCAUGGGUAGCAAACGGGAUUAGAUACCCCGGUAGUCCAUGCCGUAAACUAUGCUUGCUAAGUGUCUUAAGAGACUUGAUCUCUGGGGUACUGUAACCUAACGGGUUAAGCAAGCCGCCUGGGUAGUACAGUCGCAAGACUGAAACUCAAAGGAAUAGGCGGAGGAACACACAAGCAGUGGAUGAUCUAGAUUAAUUGGACAAUAAGCCAAGAACCUUACCUAGGUUUGACAUGUACUUUGUCAUCGGGGAAACUCGGUUAGUCGUAGCAACACGACGGGGUACACAGGUGGUGCAUGGUCGUCGUCAGUUCGUGCCGUUAGGUAUCUAGUUAUUAUUUUCAGGGAGUGCAACCAUCAUCUCUAGUUACAGUGUCUAGAGAAACUGCCUCCGCAAGGAGGAGGAAGGAGAGGAUGACGUCAGAUCCUCAUGCCCCUUA
rnacentral:rRNA from 1 species